rnacentral:rRNA from 1 species
AUGGCAACUUGCUUAUCUGAUCUGAUUAGAGAUUAUUGCUUAGACUUUAUUGGUAUUCAGGAAACAAUGAAGAAGGAUUUUUCCUCUAAAUUCUUGAGGAAAAUUGAUCCAGGGCAGUAUUUUGAUUGGAGGUGGAUCCCUUCAAUAGGCAAAUCUGGGGGAAUUCUUUGUGGUACUAAAGAUGAUACUUUUGAGGUUAGAUCCUGUGUGACAGGUAAAUAUAUCAUGAAGCUUGACUUAUGGGAUAAGAGGAAAAAAGUGUUAUAUUGUAUUCUGGUAGUGUAUGGCUCUACUCAUGAAGAGUAUAAAAUAGAAUUUUUGACAGAGAUGUCUGAUAUGUGUAGCAGCACUACUUGCCCUUACAUUGUAGGGGGAGACUUUAAUAUUCUUAGAUAUGCUAAGGAGAAAAAUAAGAAAACCAGAAUGAGUCAUGCUACUGAUCUCUUUAACUCUAUCAUUAAUACAUUCGGUCUCAGGGAAGUUGACAUGAAUGGUGGUAUAUACACUUGGUCUAAUAAUCAACAAAUGCCUACCCUUGAAAAAUUGGACCGUAUACUUAUGUCCAGUUCUUGGGAAAGGCAGUUUUCUUUGACUUUUGUCAGGAAACUAACUAGAGAGAUUUCAGAUCAUAGCCCUUUGAUCUUGAAUACUUAA